rnacentral:misc_RNA from 1 species
AAAAUCUUAAGCUAGCUAGGCUACAAUAUAUGGAAAAAUUGACCAAUUAAUCCUACAAAUUAGAGAAUGGUGGUAAAUCUAGCAAUAUGGUUUCAGGACCAAUUGCAUUUUUUAUCAAGAGAAUUGUUCCUCUUGGCACAGCAAGCAGUAGAGAGGACAAUAAGAGUGAAGAAGAUCACACAAACUAAGAAUAUAGCCAAAAUUCUCCACUGCUUCCUUAUGCUGGAUAGGACCCCAGCUUUGCAUGAAUUGCAGUUGUAGCAUAGCUGCUUCGGGUCGUUACUCCAUGUCUUACAGUCACUGUCGUCCACUUCCGGCCCAGAUUUUGCCGCCGUCCACUUUGUUCCAUUCCUAUACUGAAAUCUGCAUUCUGCCGGCGGCUUGCAGCAACCCGCCUGAGAACCAAAUGAAUGAAAAAAAAAUGCAAAUUAAUGAGAUCAUGAGAUGGCUAAGAAAUUGAAGAAGUAAUUACCUCCAUGGGAGAAAAUUUCUUCUUCAAGAAAUCAUUUUGGUUAUUAUCAUCAGUAAAGGCCUUGCAAACUUUAGCUUCAAUCAAACAACUCCUGAGUACAUCCCAGUUCUUCCCUUUAACAAAGUGAUUCUGUAACCAAUGCGAGUAAUCUCCAAGCCUGUGCUCCUUAAAUCCUCUACCAGACAAGGCCUUACCCGCAUCCUCAUUGGUGACGAAGAAAGCGAAAGUCGUGAAUACCAGGAGGCCAACAAACAUAAAAAACAAGAGGAUCAGAUAAAGCCAAAACAAACAAUUGUUCCUGCAGCAUGAACCCACCAACCCCAGGAAUGAAACUAGAAGCAGAAAGACACCCAGUAUGACUAGCGAGUUCCGCAGGGAUUUUUGGCAAGUGGUGGCGGAGGCAUGCAAAUGAAUGUAUACUCCGCCAGCUAUGACGGCGAGGCUAACUAGGAGGAAGAUGACGUUGAGAAGUGCGACUACAGUGUUGCUUACACGAACCAUGGCGUCGACGAU